rnacentral:rRNA from 1 species
UACGGAGGGUGCAAGCGUUGUUCGGAUUUACUGGGCGUAAAGCGCGCGCAGGUGGAUGAACAAGUCGGAAGUGAAAUCUUGAGGCUCAACCUCGAGGCUGCUCCCGAAACUGUUCGUCUAGGGACUGGUAGAGGCUGGUAGAAUUCCUGGUGUAGCGGUGAAAUGCGCAGAUAUCAGGAGGAACACCGGUGGCGAAGGCGGGUCUCUGGGCCGAUACUGACGCUGAGGAGCGAAAGCGUGGGGAGCGAACAGG